CUGAAUUCUGUAAUCUCUGUAUCUUUGUGCAUUGUGUAUGUAUAGUACUCCCAAUUCUUAUAUUUAAUACGGUGUCUCUCUCACAAUCUUUGUGUCUGUCUGCUGUAAAUAUGUGGCACGCAAGUCUGCAUGCACUGUGUCUGUUAUGCCAUUUACUCUAACCAGUUUUUUAUUUUUGUGUGUGUCUCAACUCUGACAAGCAUGUUCUCCUAUGGGACACAAAGUACAUGAAGAGGAAUGAAGAAGCCCAUGUUUGAGGCUCGUGUCCAGGGUUUAGUAUGGAAGUGCCACGUGACAGGUUUCUCCUGUUUGCACAGUGACUUCAACAUUUUGUACUGUGAUCACAGGUAGGUAACAUUAGGCAGUCCAGAUGCUGUGAAUUACAUCUCCCAUAAUGCUGGCAAAGCAUUAUGGGAGGUGUAAUCCAAAACAUCUGGAAUACCGAAUGCGUAUGAAUGAAAAGUAUGGUGUGUGUGAAUGGUCAGUAACAAGGGUUGAAGCCUUGACGUGGCGUUACUGCUCACAUGUGUAUCCAUGUGCCAAUUCAACCAAUGUGAGUCACUGUAAUACUUUUAAGGUAACCAAAAGUACUGUGAAUGUGGAAAAUGAAACACCUGUAUCACCUAAACACUGCUUAUACUGUGACCGUAUCACCUAAACACUGCUUAUACUGUGACCGUGUCACCUAAACACUGCUUACACUGUAUCCGUGUCACCUAAACACUGCUUAUACUGUGACCGUAUCACCUAAACACUGCUUACACUGUGACCGUAUCACCUAAACACUGCUUAUACUGUGACCGUAUCACCUAAACACUGCUUAUACUGUGACCGUAUCACCUAAACACUGCUUAUACUGUGACCGUAUCACCUAAACACUGUUUAUACUGUGACCGUAUCUCCUAAACACUGUUUAUACUGUGACCGUAUCUCCUAAACACUGCUUAUACUGUGACCGUAUCUCCUAAACACUGUUUAUACUGUGACCGUAUCUCCUAAACACUGCUUAUACUGUGACCGUAUCUCCUAAACACUGCUUAUACUGUGACCGUAUCUACUAAACACUGUUUAUACUGUGACCGUAUCACCUAAACACUGUUUAUACUGUGACCGUAUCUCCUAAACACUGUUUAUACUGUGACCGUAUCUCCUAAACACUGCUUAUACUGUGACCGUAUCUCCUAAACACUGCUUAUACUGUGACCGUAUCUCCUAAACACUGCUUAUACUGUGACCGUAUCUCCUAAACACUGUUUAUACUGUGACCGUAUCUCCUAAACACUGUUUAUACUGUGACCGUAUCUCCUAAACACUGUUUAUACUGUGACCGUAUCUCCUAAACACUGUUUAUACUGUGACCGUAUCUCCUAAACACUGCUUAUACUGUGACCGUAUCUCCUAAACACUGCUUAUACUGUGACCGUAUCACCUAAACACUGUUUAUACUGUGACCGUAUCUCCUAAACACUGUUUAUACUGUGACCGUAUCUCCUAAACACUGCUUAUACUGUGACCGUAUCUCCUAAACACUGCUUAUACUGUGACCGUAUCUCCUAAACACUGCUUAUACUGUGACCGUAUCUCCUAAACACUGUUUAUACUGUGACCGUAUCUCCUAAACACUGUUUAUACUGUGACCGUAUCUCCUAAACACUGUUUAUACUGUGACCGUAUCUCCUAAACACUGUUUAUACUGUGACCGUAUCUCCUAAACGCUGCUUAUACUGUGACCGUAUCUCCUAAACGCUGCUUAUACUGUGACUGUAUCUCCUAAACACUGCUUAUACUGUGACCGUAUCACCUAAGCACUGCUUACACUGUGGCUGUAUCACCCAAACACUGCUCAUACUGUGACCGUAUCAUCUAAACACUGCUUACACUGUAACCGUAUUGCCUAAACACUGCUUACAUUGUAUAAAAAGGGUGGUAUCCCAGAUGACGAUGACAUCACUGACCUUUACAUUAUCUUUAAAGUGACUUUGUCACCAACUCGGAUCUUUACAUAAUUAGCAAUAAUAUGCCUCCAUCCACUCAGAUCUGCUGUCAGCAGAGCAUAGGGCAGCACUGUGCACAGCAUCCUGUGAUUCAGUAUCUCCUCCCUCUGCAUGCAGACACUGAACUUUCCUCAUAGAGAGUCAUUGAUUCAGAUGCUGAUUGGCCAGGGCUGUGUUUGAAUCAUGCUGGCUCUGCCCCUGAUCUGCCUCUUUGUCAGUCUCAGCCAAUCCUAUGAGGAAGCACUGUGAUUGGAUCAGGCUACCACAUGUCAGCAGACUGCUUGUUUUUCUAAGUCUAACAGUAUGCAUAUUUACAGCUUCAGGUUUGAAUACAGUAAGAUUUUUACUAUAUUUAUGGAGGCAUGAGGGGCCUUGGGGGGCUAGAUGGUGGUGUUAACACUGUAAGGUCAGGAAUACAUGUUUGUGUUCCUGAUCCUAUAGUGAUCCUUUAAACAUUUUUAUCCAAUUACAGCAAAAAACAACUUUCAAGAUGGAUGAAGCACCUCCCAUGAUGUC
rnacentral:lncRNA from 1 species